rnacentral:lncRNA from 1 species
GUAGCUGCCAGCCUACACCACAGCCACAGCAACUCGGGAUAUGAGCCUCGUCUUCGACCUACACCACAGGUCACAGCAAGGCCAGAUCCUUAACCCACUGAGUGAGGCCAGGGAUUGAACCUGCAUCCUCAUGGAUACUAGUUGGGUUCGUUAACCACUAAGCCACAAAGGAAUGCCAAGAUCUUCUUAUUUAAAAAUUAGUAGAGUAGUUAAGAACAUGGGCUGUAUCGUUAGGCAGAUGGUUGAGUUCAACCUCUGAUGCUGACUGUGUAUCUUGUGUAGGCAAGCUUUUCAACCUCCUGGGUUCAUUUUCUCAUCUAGUAAAUGGUGAUGAUUAUACCUCAGAAGGCUCUGGUGAGGAUUAGAUAUUAUGCAUAUAAAUAGAGGCUUCAGUUCCUGGAACACAGUAGGUGCUCAAUAAACAUUAGCUGCUAAUCAGUAAAUACUGUUCCCCCAGGGAACAGAUGCCAAGUGAAAAUGUAGAGUUGGAUGACUGAGGCUUUCUGGGGUCUGGGGAGGCACAGUGCUCUAUUUUGGGUUUGAAUGAGGUGAUCGAUAAUGAUGACAAACGCAAACAUUAAAACUUUAUGUCACAAUUUAUUACAGGAAGUUUUGAUCACAGUGAAAUACUAGUUCCUGAGAACUGUUUGUGCCUUCUUAUUCCUACAUCACAUUCUUAAGGGGAAAAUGAACCGUUAUUUUUCUCUCUUUGUUUAAUUCCUGCUUGAGUCCCUCUCCCUUCACGUCCCUUUUCUCCUUCCUGCUGUUUCCAGUACUGUAGCUACUGCUGGUCUCCAGUGACAGAGUAGACCUGCUAAUCCUCAGUAAGCACCUCCAAGGGCCAAAACCUGUGCUAAGAGCAGGGGGAGCAAAGAAGGUUAGUGAGAACCAGUCCUGUGCUUAAGGAGCUUACUGUUGGCUGGGUCAGACCAGGAGAAAGCUCACUGUGAUAGAAGCCAGAAUGUAAGCAGGGUGCUGUGGGGGCGGGUGAGACGUGACAGUUUCUUGUAUUUGAUGGCAGGCAAGACUUCCCAAAGGAGGCUUGUGAGCUGGGCCUGGAGGAAAGGGUGAGGCAUGCUUCUCAGGCUGGGAAGGGUCUGGAGCAAAGCAGAAAGCUGAGAUAGUAGGUAGGUAGUGUGUCUUAUUACAUGGGGAGUUGUCCUAGGAGACUGGAGUUACCAUGUCUACGAGUAGUCAUGGUGAGGACGGAAAUGUUGCGUCUUAUCUGCCUGAAAAGGUCUCCUAGGGAGACCUCUGACCUCUUGGUCCAGACUCUGCGUGUAAUACUCUUCUGGAAGAUGGAUUUGAAGAGAUAGUGAGGGCCAGUUUAAGAAGAGCCUUGAAUAUCAUUCAGAGUUUGUUCUUUAUUUGACCUAGCCCCCAGGGCAUCAGACAGUAGUUUUUGUGCAGACCUAGAAGAUGUACAUUGCAAAUGAUAUUCAGGUGGUUCUGGUCAGGGGACCUAACAGGAGGUCUGGGAGAGUUAGGGGUCCAUGAAGACUUCAGCUUGGCCCUUCAAGCUAUGAUAGGUGUUUCGAACAAUCUAAUGUGAGUUAUCCAUUGAUCCUUCCUAAGUUCGUAACUAGUGUAACUAGUCUUUUCCUGGGUCUGGAACUGUUUUAACACAGUGUGGCAAUUUGGAUAAGGCAGGACAGCACUGUGCAGUGGUUCAGAGCAUGGAUUAUGGAGACAGAUCUGCAUCUUACAUGUGUCCCACCGACUUCCAGCUGCAGGAUCUCAAUCACAUUACUUCACCUGUGCGAUCAUAGUUCCUGUCUGUGAAACAGGGAUAGCAGUAGAACCCAGCUCAGGGAGUCGUGGAGAGGAUUCUGUGAGCAUGCGUGUGUAGCGCCUGACAUCAAGGAGAUGCUCCAAACAUGUUAUUCGCAUUAAGCUGUCUCACGGAAAAAUAAUUCUAUAUGCCUAUGUGGAAUUCGUCUGGUAGCAAAACUCAGGGGAAAUAAAAAUAACAAAGGAUCCUCGAAGGUGAAAAGCCUGGAAAGCUUUUUCAAAGGGCUUGUUUGGACACAGCCUCUAGAGCGGAUAGCAGAGACGUGCCUUUCCUUAACGCCUUGGUCCAGGAUGCAGCCUCCGAAGUGGACCCGCACACUUCAGCUCUGCCUCUGGAGCGUGAUUUCUCCUGGAAAUGGUCCUAACGGAAAAUAGUAGACGGUUACUUACUUGCCAGGAGAAGAAUCAAGGGAGAGCGUGUAUUUACUUUGGGCGAUUUUCCCAUUGCACUGUGUUCGCCUGCCAGGAAGUUAAAAAUAGUGGUGAUAAGCAGUCUGUGCAUUGGUCUCUCCUGCAGGGGCAAGGGUCAACCGAAAGUAGAAUGGUUCCUCCUGCCCCCUGAGAGCUCUGCUUUAUCCCCCCAAAAGUCCUGUUUCGAGAGCUCCUCUUGCAGCUUCUGUCUGCUGCUGUCCUGCACCCUACGCUCCUUGCCUGAGUUUCCCGGCCUGUCGCAUCCAUUCAUCAGACUUCUCAGCAGCCUAUGUUAAACCAACUGGUUUGGGAUGGCCUCAUGCUUUACAUCCGCUAUUUAUAACCAAUAAUUUAUGUUUUCAUGAGCCUUCAUGUACCAGCUGGUCUUUGUGCCACUGUAAUAAGGGAAUAAUGAAAUGCAUGGUAUUUAUACCGGUGGCUCUAGUGUCUGUCGUUUUGUACAUGGAUGGGUAUUGUAGGAAGCAUGUCAAAUUGCAGAGGGUCUUUUUUUUUUUUCCUUUUCAAGAUAAGUCCUAGCAUAUUAAAUAUUCAUCUGCCAUGUAAGAACACUAUACCAUCUUUUUUACUUUCUUCAUCCCCAUUUUCUCAUGGAAAUAUAUUCAGAUGUCUACAAUAUGUACUGUUCUCAUAAAAUGCUCCUCAUGGCAACUGGUCCCCUGAGCAAAGCAUUAAAAAACAAACAAACAAAC